rnacentral:rRNA from 1 species
AUUGAACGCUGGCGGCAGGCCUAACACAUGCAAGUCGAGCGGCAGCGGGAAAGUAGCUUGCUACUUUUGCCGGCGAGCGGCGGACGGGUGAGUAAUGCCUGGGAAAUUGCCCAGUCGAGGGGGAUAACAGUUGGUAACGAAUGCUAAUACCGCAUACGCCCUACGGGGGCAAGCAGGGGACCUUCGGGCCUUGCGGGAUUGGAUAAGCCCGGGUGGGAUUAGCUAGUUGGUGAGGUAAUGGCUCACCAAGGCGACGAUCCCUAGCUGGUCUGAGAGGAUGAUCAGCCACACUGGAACUGAGACACGGUCCCGACUCCUACGGGAGGCAGCAGUGGGGAAUAUUGCACAAUGGGGGAAACCCUGAUGCAGCCAUGCCGCGUGUGUGAAGAAGGCCUUCGGGUUGUAAAGCACUUUCAGCGAGGAGGAAAGGUUGAUGCCUAAUACGUAUCAACUGUGACGUUACUCGCAGAAGAAGCACCGGCUAACUCCGUGCCAGCCGCCGCGGUAAAAC